rnacentral:rRNA from 1 species
GACAGAGGUGCCAAGCGUUAGGCGGAAUCACUGGGCUUAAAGCGUGUGUAGGUGGAUUUGUAAGUACCUUGUGAAAACUCGAGGCUCAACUUCGAGCUGUCGGUGGAAACUUUCUGGCUAGAGUCCGGAAGAGGAGAAUGGAAUUCCUGGUGUAGCGGUGAAAUGCGCAGAUAUCAGGAAGAACACCCGUGGCGAAGGCGGUUCUCUGGGACGGUACUGACGCUGAGACGCGAAAGCGUGGGGAGCGAACAGG